rnacentral:rRNA from 1 species
CCUACGGGAGGCAGCAGUGAGGAAUAUUGGUCAAUGGGCGGAAGCCUGAACCAGCCAAGUCGCGUGAGGGAAUAAGGCCCUACGGGUCGUAAACCUCUUUUGCCGGGGAGCAAGGGCCGGGACGAGUCCCGGUCCGGAGAGUACCCGGAGAAAAAGCAUCGGCUAACCCCGGGCCAGCAGCCGCGGUAUUCCGGAGGAUGCGAGCGUUAUCCGGAUUUAUUGGGUUUAAAGGGUGCGUAGGCGGGCUUUUAAGUCAGCGGUAAAAAUUCGGGGCUCAACCCCGUCCGGCCGUUGAAACUGGGGGCCUUGAGUGGGCGAGAAGAAGGCGGAAUGCGUGGUGUAGCGGUGAAAUGCAUAGAUAUCACGCAGAACCCCGAUUGCGAAGGCAGCCUUCCGGCGCCCUACUGACGCUGAGGCACGAAAGUGCGGGGAUCGAACAGGAUUAGAUACCCCAGUAGUC